UUAAUAAUGAAUCUAUUAUAAAAAAGAGGAAUCUAGAAAACUGACAAAAGUCUUUGAAACAAUUAACAAAACGCUAAUCAGUAUAAGCGAAAAAAGUUUAAGAGAGAUGAUAUUGACAAAAGUUAAUCAUUUUAUUCAUACCCCGAAAAUCAGUCCAAACAUUGAAAACACAGAGAUUGGAAUUGUCAACACCGUUUAUUUUCUUGGUCAUUGGAAAUAUAACUUUGUUCCAAUUAGUUCAAAUCAAAUGAAAGAAUCCAUUUUCAACUUCGACAUCGGUUUGCUGUUCCCAUACAUACAAGUAUACUGGUAAGGACAUCGAUCUUACCAACCACAACCAGGCAUGGAAGGACAGACAUCGUUAAAGCAACCACAGGUAUUUGGGACAUAGUAGAAAUUGCAACAGCAGGCAGGCGGAGCAGAAGGACAGCAGCCACAAUAUUUCAGUUCGGGCAGACAGGGCCCGACGGGGCCACAGCGUAACGCAUACGAGAUCUGACAACACGGAGAAUUCAUCCUGAUGCCGUCUAGCGGUGGUAUAUUAUUUUAGUUUAGUAUACGAUUAAGUAUCUAUCACAUUUCUACAUACCUAUGGUACUAUUCUACACAAGAAACAAGACACGGGCACAGUCGAAUUUGAAUCUAUUUCAUUGCCUAUUGGGGAGUGUUGCGAACGUUUUCUGACCUAUCAAAAUACUCGCCUACUGCUGUAAAAUAUAUGGAAAGCAUUUUUUUUUUCAGAUUAUCUGAGUACGAGAUAGCUUAGCUUUGAUUGGAGCCCACUGAUUUAUUUGAUGGUGGCCAGACCUUCACAAAAUAAAUAGUCGGUCUAAGACUGUCUAAUUCGGAGCCGAACUACUGAAUCAAUAGCUGGGCAUGAUAAUUAGUAUUCCCAAUAUACUUUAAUAUAUUGAAAGUUUGCAUAUAAACUAUUAUAGAUACACACAAA